UGUGAAAACAUGUGCUUAUCCUAACCUAUUUCGUGCUGUUUUGAGUUUUAUAACAAAAAUGUCAAAUUAUUGUUUUAUUUGUACUCAUCUUUUAACUGAAGGUCAAACUGUAACUGUUAAUCGUGGUAUGAAGACACUGAUUAAUGCGAGUAUUGAAAGAGAUGAUGGAUUUUCGAAAUAUCUUAUAAAACAAAAAAGUGUAACAAUGCAUGAGCAGUGUCGUAAAAAUUAUACACGAAAGUGUUCUAUUGCUGCACUCACCAAAAGAAAACACGAAGAACAAGAAGCCAGUACAUCUACAAGGUCAUCAGUAAGUCCUCCUCGUACUAGAUCACGUUUAAGUGAUUCCGCUUUUUCUUUUAAAAAACAAUGCUUAUUUUGCGGCAAUGAAUUGAAUGAAAAUUUUGAGAAAAAAAAAUCCCUACAUCGUCGCAGUAGAAUUUAUGAGGAUGCGACGUUUACAAAUGGUUAUUUGGCACAAUGAAUCCAGGCGAUAGAAUUGAAAUAUUGGACCAUUUAGCGGUGACAGAUGAAAAUGUUCAUAAUGCUAUUGACGGAAUAAACAAACAAAUAAUUAUUAGCAACUCAUUCAACACACCAUUAAAACAGUUAAGAACGGCUGAAAAAGAUGACAAAAACUUUAGACAGCGUUUGCAGAAAUUAUAAAACAAAACAACGAAUCAAAUAGUAAGGUAUUAUUGUAUCUAGACUUAGACCAUAUUUGUCACGGCAAAAUCCGGAACAGUUUUUUUUAGUAACCAAUUUUUUCCAUAUUAUAAUUCACUAAAAAUCGCGACAUAUAAUAGGUGAGAGAGCAAUACAAUUUAAUUCAAUUCAUUAAUUUUUUUUUUAAUUUCUAACCCCGGGACGGCCGGGACGCUUAAGUCGGAGUCCGGACUGUCCCGGCCAAACCGGGACGAAUAGUCAGCUAAAUUUGAAUAAUUAGCCAAAUAGAAAAAUUUAGAAUAGACCAAAUACAAGAUAAUUAAGUAUUUGCGAAACACAUCCUAGUAUUUUAUCUGCACAAGAAAUAGAAGAAUUUAGAAUUGGUUUUAUGAAUUAGAAAUGAUUAAAGUUGGAAUAAUGCCAUACAAAGAAAAUUCAAUUUUAAUCACAGUAAAAAUAUCGAAAACUUUUUUUUUAAAAUAGACCUUCAAUUUAUUGCUAAAGUAUCAAAUGAUAAGUAUUUAGAAAUAAAUGAGACCAACGAAUAUAUAAUCAGGGGUGUUGUAGAAUCUGAUAGUUGCCGGAAUCAGAAUUGAAACCGAUAAAAAAAUGUAGUAGGUGUCAUGAAUUCAGAUAUUAUUGGUUUGACGUUCGAAACAGAAAUUGUAUCGGUUUUGGGAGUCACGGAAACCAAUUUUAUCGGUUUUGUUAUCAGAAAAAAAGCAAGAGGAUUUUUGCUGACAGAUUUGAAAUGUAAGUUAAGAAAAUAAUUUAUAUUAUUGUUACGAUUUAAUUUAUCGUUCUUUCUAUAGGGGAAAACAUAAGAAUAAAACAAAAAAUGUCAUAAUUAUCGAGUUUAUGGAAAAAAUCAAAAUAUUUUAAGAGAAUUUACAAAACGUAACAAACGUAAUUUAACACCCAAAUGCGUCUUUAUUCAGUCGAUAAUGUGAUAUAAAUCUGUAAAAUAAGCAUGUAUACAAACAUAUAAAUAAACUUCCUUCAGUACCGGUUGCUCAUAAAAACAUUGCUUCUUGCAAAGAUUGAAUACAGAAAACAUAAUUGAAAUAUAUGUGGCGAUUUUAAAGUCAUUGCACUUUUGCUUGGACUACGGUUUGGUUACGCAAAAUAUAAAAAAUACUCACUGUACAAAGAAAGUGUGGCCUAAGCGCAAAUCACUCACUCCAGGCCACAAAAAUGUUAAAAAUGAUGCUUCAUACCAUUCGCAUAAUGUUCGGCCUGAUCAAAAUUUUUGUAAAAGCUAUGCCAAGAGAUGGAAGUUAAUUUGUAUAUCUGAAAGAGAAAUUCCCUAAAUUCAGCAAGGCAAAAAUUAAGGAGGCUUUUAAGAAAACGUGAAUGAUCAGGAAAAACUCGUAUAGAAAUGUUUUGUGAACGUUGUCCAAAAUUUUCUAGGAAAACAUAAAUCGUAAAAUUACAGACUUAAUGAAACUCUCAUCUGGAUUUAUUUCCGGCAAAUUUGGGUACUGAGUGACGAAUAAGGCGUGAGGUUCCAUCAGGACAUUUCCGGACAUUUCAUUAAUGGAGAAGCGUUAUCAAAGGAAAUGGACCGCCGGAAUGUUAGCAGAUAAUUGUUAGAGACUUAAAAAAGACCUUCCAGGAGCCAAAUAUUCACGCAAAUCAUAAGUAUUUUUUCUAUUAAGCAAUAAUUUCUCAAAACGUAGCUAAUUUUUGUACUUUUUAAGAAAUACAUGUUAUCAUGUCACAGGAAAA